rnacentral:rRNA from 1 species
UGGGGAAUUUUGGACAAUGGGGGCAACCCUGAUCCAGCAAUGCCGCGUGAGUGAAGAAGACCUUCGGGUUGUAAAGCUCUUUUGUCAGGGAAGAAACGGUAGUAGCGAAUAACUAUUACUAAUGACGGUACCUGAAGAAUAAGCACCGGCUAACUACGUGCCAGCAGCCGCGGUAAUACGUAGGGUGCAAGCGUUAAUCGGAAUUACUGGGCGUAAAGCGUGCGCAGGCGGUUGUGUAAGUCAGAUGUGAAAUCCCCGGGCUCAACCUGGGAAUUGCAUUUGAGACUGCACGGCUAGAGUGUGUCAGAGGGGGGUAGAAUUCCACGUGUAGCAGUGAAAUGCGUAGAUAUGUGGAGGAAUACCGAUGGCGAAGGCAGCCCCCUGGGAUAACACUGACGCUCAUGCACGAAAGCGUGGGAGCAAACAGGAUUAGAUACCCUGGUAGUCCCUGAGCGGGCUGGCAAGGCGCAU